rnacentral:lncRNA from 1 species
UCUUUCUUUUAGGGCUGCACCUGCGGCCUAUGGAGGUUCCCAGGCUAGGGGUCUGAUCGGAGCUGUUGCUGCCGGCCUACGCCACAGUCACAGCAAUGCCAGAUCUCUAACCCACUGAGCAAGGCCAGGGACCGAACCUGCACCCUCAUGGUUUCUAGUCGGAUUCAUUUCCACUGUGCCACGACGGGAACUCCUAAAACUGAAUUUCUAAACUCUGUCUAAUCAAGAAUGAUGAUCUCAUCUGUUUAUCAGCUAUCCGUCUUUCACUCUGUGAAUUUCCUGUUUAUAUUCUCUCCCAAUUUCUGGCUAUUGAACAGUGGAUAACUUUGGUUUGUUAGACUUGUUCGUAUUUCUAGGAAAUUUAGCCUUUAGUAUCUGUCGCAAAAACUUUGGCAAGAGUUGAUUGCUUUUGACUUUGCCUGUGAUGAUGCUUUUACUCAGAAACGUUUCUUGUUACAUAUCCAGUGUUAUGACUCUUUUCUUUGACAGCUUAUGAACUUCCCUCUGCUUCAAAAAGCCUCCUUCAUUCCAUCAAGAUAAUUUUCGUGAAAUAUCUCCUUGUUAAUUCUGCUCCUAGAGUGUUUUCAAAACUCCUCUUUCAUCUUUAAUACAUUUGCAAUUUAUUUGGGUUGAAGGAGAGAAGUCAUGCUGCCUAUUCAUUUCCUUUCUUCCCAAAUGGUUAGCAUAUUCCUCAACCAUUAUUAGCCACGAUUCAUCUUCCAGCCACUACCGUAGAACAAUUUGAAUCUAUUGGUUCCCGAUGGCUCCUGUAACAAAUUAUCUCAGAUGCAGUGGCUUAAAGCAACGCAAAUGUGUUCUCUUCCAGUUCUGGAAGCCAGAAGUCUAAACGGGGUGGUCAGGCCUGCGUUCCUUCCGGAGGCUCCAGACGAGAACGCAUUUCCUUGCAUUUCUGGCUGCUGCUAUCUGCCCACACGCCUUGGCUCACAGCCUCGCCUCAUUCUCACCUCGGCCUCGGGGUCACACCUCCUGCUCUGGUUCCGAUUCACCGCCUUCUACACUCCCUCCUAAGAACCCCUGUCAUCACAGUGGAGUUCCCUGGGGGCGUGGCGGUUAAAGAUCGGAAGUUAUCAGUGGCUGCGGCUUGGGUUCCAGUCCUGGCCUGGGAACUUCCACGUGCGGCCCCAAAAAGAAAACCCUUGGCACUACGGUGGAUCCUCCUAAUUAACACGAUAAUCUCCCCGUUGCAAGGUUCUUAAUUCAAUCACAGCUGCAAAGUCCCUUUUACCGUCCAAGGUGGCCUAUUGAUCAGUUCCAGGGAUUAGAAGAGGGGUGUCUUUGGGGUGGGACAGGGAGGGUUAUUCAGCCUGCCCCAGGGAUGAAAUCUUUGCUCUCUGCCUGUCUUUUUUGAGGGCCACACCCGAAGCAUAGGGAAGUUCCCAGGCUAGGGGUCGAGUCUGAGCUGCAGCUGCCAGCCUACACCACAGCCGCAGCAAGGCCAGACCCUUAACCCACUGAGCGAGGGCAGGGAUCGAGUCUGAGUCCUCAUGGAUACUCGUGGGGCUCCUUACCACUGAGCCACAAGGGGAGCUCCCUGCCUGACGGUCUGUGAGCCGGAACAGUGGUCUUCUCCUGCCUUUGGUCUCAAACUCAGACUAGAGAAUGUGUGGAACCAUGACCAAUACACUACACCUGUUUUUCUAGGUGUUGUGGCAGCACAGUGGGUUUACAAGGUUGCGGUCUUUUCUGCUGCACAGCAGAUUCAGUGAGACAUGGACAGCCACCCGUUCUCUUGCGGGUUCUUUCCCCACAGGCGAUCGCAGAAUACUGGGUAGAGGACCCUGUGCUGUGCAGCAGGUCCCCGUCAGCCAAUCACUCCCCAUACCUCAGUGUGCACAUGCCAAUCCCAAUGCCCAGUCCAUCCCCCACCCCCCACCGGUCCCCUUUGGUAACCAGAACUCUGUUUCCAAAGUCCCGUCAGUUCUGCCAAUAAGGGCACUCAUACCCUUUCUCUUAGGUUCCACCUGUAAGUGAUGCCAUGUGAUGUCCGUCCUUCUCUGUCUCGCUUCGCUUGGCAUGAUCAUCUCCCUUUACGGAAAGAGGGUUUGGACUGUUCCUCAUUCAGCCCCUCUGUUUCCUUCUCUUUGCAGCGGCAGACAGACUCUCAGGAAGACAUCCUGUAUGUGGCCCAUUCUCCGCAGUCGGGACAUCUUGAGCCGUGCGUUGCUCUCUGCUGUACCUUCCAGCCCUGGGGCCUCUGACAUUUACUUUCCUAGUGUGUCCAACGCUCCGAUUUCUUUGAGGAGGUAAAGUCGGUGUCCAGUCUAGAGGAAGGACGACAGGUGUCCUGUCCUUUUCUGUACAGACUCAGAAUAAUAAAAAAGUCAAAGUUACUACUGCUUCUGGUGUAAGAGUGAACUGAAGCAGAAUGACUUGCCUAAGGGGUGGUGAAAAGCUGUGUUGAUGAUGUCGUGGGCAUGGCCCAUUUGUCAGAAAAAGAGGAAAACAGCUGUUCAAAAACAUGGAAUCAUCCAACCAGGCACCACGUGCAUAGGGGCCAUUUGGGUUUUUUUGGUCAGUUGGUUGAUGUGGGUGUAUGUGUUUGCGGGUGUUGAUUUGUCUUUCUUAGGAGAGCAUGUGCUUGUGGUUGGACCCCAAAGAUGCUUCAGGAUCCAUGAUGGGUAGACUUUCUCAAGAUCCCCUUGUGCCAGCUGCAUGCAGUGUGGGUGCCCCCCCGCCCGCCUGGCUCAGGUCAUCAGGCUAAGCAGACCUCAAAGGCCCCCAACAGAGCAGGAAUGCUGAGUCUCAGGCUGCAGACUCACCAUCCCUGCUCUUAAACUUGGAUGGUGGGAUUGGCCUCCCGGGGGUCACAUCAGCCCUGUUUCCUGGUGUGAAUGUGACACCUACUUACUUGCCAGCUCUCCCACCAAUGCUGUGGGUUGAUUACAAGUCCCCCUUUUUACACAACGAGGCUUGAAGCCACAAGGCUGGUAAGUGGUGGAAAGAAGACGUAAACUCUUGGCUUUGAACUCUGAAAACCGCAAGCUUUCCACUACAACAUGUUACCCAUGACUGAAGGAGCACAGACUCCAUCUCUUCUCUGCUGAAUAUGUAAGUAGCACAGAUUCUCUGGAAAGGUCGCAGUUCCCCUGCUCCUUGGGGACCCUCUUUUAAGAAGACACUAAAUGGCCUGGAAUAAAAUGCUGCUCUGGCUGUGGAAUCUUCACAGAGGACAGCCAUCCUUGGACCCAGGAAUCCAGCCCUCUCUGACCAUGCCGUGUGUGCUCAGGCCAGGGCUGGGCUGCGAAUUACUCUCUAAGAUGCACCCACAGUGGCAGCGCUCGGCCACAUUCAGAAGCACAAUGCCUGUUCAGAAAUUGAGUCUGACUGUAUGUGUAANGUGUGUGUGUGUGUGUGUGUGUGUGUGUGUGUCCUGCAUUGAAUCAAUCCGCUCAAGCAUAUAGCUCACAGCAAAAAGAGGCCAAUUCUCAGAAAGGCUGAUGAGCACCAAGAAGAAAACUUGGCCCUUAAGUGUAGCACAGUGGGUCUCAAAGAGUGUCCCUGGAGCAGCAGCAGCAUCUCCUAGGAACUGGUACCCAAUUUAGACUCUUGGGACCCAACCCAGACCUGCUCCUCAGAAAUUCUGGGGGUGAAGACCAGAAAUCUGGUUGAGUCUGACACAUGCUCAAGGUAGAGAACUACUGGUUUCAAAUAUGUUUGUAAUAGCAUUUGGCUCCUUGCAGCAGCAAUAAGGAGGUAUGGUGGUUAGGGCAGCCCUUCUCUAUCUGGGGAGACAAAUCAUACAAAUAUCCAGUCUUCUCAUGAAGCAUCAUCCUAUACACAAUUGUCUUCAUUUUCUUAAAAAAAUUUUUUUAAUAAAAAGAACAAUUUUAUUUUAUCAAAUAGAGAAAAUUUUUAUUUUAGAAAAUAAGUGGAAAAUUGUAUAAGAUAAAUAGAAAUAAAAUACAUACAUAAUACAUUUAACUCAAAUAAAUUUUAAAAAUAAUGUUUCCAAAAGGAGGGGAAAUUAAUGCACACUGACAGGGAGGCCAUUCCAGCCCAUUUUGGGAUUCCUGAGAGGUGAGAAGUAUUAUAAGGAUGUGAAGUCACUCAAGAGUGGAAAACCACUGUCCCAUCUUGUUUCAAAAAUUGCUGGAAGGUUCUGAGAGCUUGACAGCCAUGUCUUUCUGGACCCCAGAGGUAGACUUAAGACUGGGUGGUAGGAGUGAGGCUGGAAUCCGUUCUGAUGGGAACCCCAGCCCCAAGAAGAAUAGCAGAUUCCACACCAUUCAGUGCUCUCUCUGGUUCAUCAGCCCCCAGAGAGAGCCAGCCUGCAGGACACACACACAUCUCCCCACACGAAGAUGAAAAGCAAGGGUCAACCGCCUGGCUCUUGUCAGCUGUGGACCUGACAGCUUUACAUCCUCCACGAAGGGAGGAGCUGAGAGGAGGUGCCGUGAGUAUCUGUGUGACAGGGACGGAAGACGGAUAUUUUUAUGGAGGAAGAAAUACACUGAACAAGGGAAAUUAGAUGGAAAGACCAUAAAAGUCUCAGGUUGGCCAAACCAAUUAGUAGAUGUUUACAGAAGAUACCCCUGAGGUCAGACAGGAUUUGCUUUGAUGUCAAAACUCUUGAGUUUGAAAAAUGGAUUAGCAUCCUCUGCAUCAAGGCGCGGUGGAGAGACCCGCUCCCCUUCUGCUGGCGCUUCCAGCCAGCUGUGCACCCUCAGGCAGGUGAUUUAAAGUCUCCGGCAUUUCUUUCCUCAUCUGCGAGAGGGAAGGAUUAUACGAGAUCUCCCUGAAGGUCCCUUCCAGCUCUGACAUGCCAGGAAAUCCUCUUUGACUUCUGGAAACUUGGAGGGACGUUUCAGGGCUCGAGCAUCCAUAAUUUGGCUCCGUGGGAUUUUCCAUGCAGUCUCUAAAAUUCCUCUACC